GGGCUUGUAGGUAAGUGGUAUACCGGUACAUUCGCAUUGUACAGUCUCGGGUCCGAUUCCCGACAAGUCCACUA
rnacentral:tRNA from 4 species